rnacentral:rRNA from 1 species
CGGGGGGGGCAAGCGUUGUUCGGAAUUACUGGGCGUAAAGGGUGCGUAGGCGGUCCGCUAAGUUGGAUGUUGAAAACUCUGGGCUUAACCAGAGCCUGCAUUCAAAACUGACGGGCUAGAGUUCUGGAGGGGGUAGCGGAAUUCCUGGUGUAGCGGUGAAAUGCGUAGAUAUCAGGAGGAACACCGGUGGCGAAGGCGGCUACCUGGACAGAAACUGACGCUGAGGCACGAAAGCUAGGGGGAGCAAACAGGAUUAGAUACCCUGGUAGUCCUAGCCCUAAACGAUGGAUACUUGGUGUGACUGGGAUUGAAUCCAGUCGUGCCGAAGCUAACGCAUUAAGUAUCCCGCCUGGGGAGUACGGUCGCAAGGCUG